AUGGGCGGAAGCCUGAACCAGCCAAGUAGCGUGCAGGAUGACGGCCCUAUGGGUUGUAAACUGCUUUUAUGCGGGGAUAAAGGAGCCCACGUGUGGGCUUUUGCAGGUACCGCAUGAAUAAGGACCGGCUAAUUCCGUGCCAGCAGCCGCGGUAAUACGGAAGGUCCGGGCGUUAUCCGGAUUUAUUGGGUUUAAAGGGAGCGUAGGCCGCCCCUUAAGCGUGUUGUGAAAUGCGGGUGCUCAACAUCCGACUUGCAGCGCGAACUGGGGGGCUUGAGUGCGCCGAAAGUAGGCGGAAUUCGUGGUGUAGCGGUGAAAUGCUUAGAUAUCACGAAGAACUCCGAUUGCGAAGGCAGCUUACUGUAGUGCAACUGACGCUGAUGCUCGAAAGCGUGGGUAUCGAACAGGAUUAGAUACCCUGGUAGUCCACGCGGUAAACGAUGGAUGCUCGUUGUCGGCCCUUGCGGUCGGUGACCAAGCGAAAGCGUUAAGCAUCCCACCUGGGGAGUACGCCGGCAACGGUGAAACUCAAAGGAAUUGACGGGGGCCCGCACAAGCGGAGGAACAUGUGGUUUAAUUCGAUGAUACGCGAGGAACCUUACCCGGGCUUGAACUGCGGCGGAACGAUUCCGAGAGGAUGAGGCCCUUCGGGGGCUGCCGCGGAGGUGCUGCAUGGGUUGUCGUCAGCUCGUGCCGUGAGGUGUCGGCUUAAGUGCCAUAACGAG
rnacentral:rRNA from 1 species